AAUUUAAUAAUUCUAACCAACCGUCCCUAGAGCAAGUGGCAAAAGGUUUGAUGGUUGGUACCCGAGAUCUAAGUUUGAAUCCUAGUUUAUUCACAUUUCCAGUUAAAUUUAUUUCUAAAUGAAAUCAAAGAAGCAGGUAGCGUACUAUCUAUUUCUAAAAAAAAAUAAUAAUAAUAAUAAUUCUAUUAGUCAUUAACUGUUAUCUGACCU
rnacentral:lncRNA from 1 species